GCCUACCUAGAGGUUAUGCUCUUUAAAAAAAGACCUAGUCUAACAUGUUUUGUCCUUGCUCCUUCUCCAGGUAUUUUGCCAAGACUCAGAUCAAGUUCCACUGGAGAACCAAUCUACUCUGUCCUUCGAACCAAGACUUCAGUAAAGAUCUUCAACCCAAGUUCCGGCUGGCAGCCACUGAUCCUCCGUCCUCCAGCAACCACCGAGCGAACUCUGUCCACCCUCCAACAAGACUGCCUCCUAGUCCUAAGGAAAAGAGUGACACCGGAAUCCAAUUUUACUCCGGAGGGAGAACCAGAAGAACCUCCGCCUAGACCAAGCUCCAGAUUCACAUUGAGCACCACAUCAGACACCACAUCAAGUUCCCCCGACCGACCAUUGAACCCAGAAUACUGAGACGUUCCUGUCCCGGCUCUAUUCCACCUUGUUCCCACGAUCAAGCAAUAAACUCUUAAACUGAUCCAGUUUCUCUGCGUGUUCUCUGCAUGUGGGUAAGAUCGACAGCAAAAAAGAUGACACUGGUGACAUGUUUUUGCUACAUUUAUUUUUAUUUCUGCAUCUGUUUGCACAAUAUUUUUCCAUGUUUUCAUUGCAUUCUUCAAACAGCAGAAAAUUCUGCUCUGGACAGCUGUUACCCAGCAUAUGAUUUCAUUAUUAUGGGUCAUUUUGUAAAAAAAAAAAGCAAACAAACCUGAAAAGGUCUAAAAAUCUUGGUGGUGACAAAAGCAUAAAAAAAAAAAAGAACGCCAAUGCUGUGGCACAUGUCACUCAGUUUUAAAAUAAAAAGUCAAACUGAAGCAACAUUCACAAGUGAAAAAAUUUUCUUUUCAGAAAAACGCGAAGCAAUGGUAAAAAUUCUGAUGUAGACACAAAGAAAGGGUAACUGUGUGUGCACGAGAGAAAGAAAGUUGCACAGCCUGUGCUGGCAGUGAUAAAGGGUAAUGAGUUAUUGCAUUCACAGGUACAGAGUGCUCUCAUAUAUCACAGCUCUGUCAGCACCGUCUGACUUGUGGCUGAAUGUUUCAGGCUGAUCUCACUCAAAAUCACAAAUCCUGGAGUGCUUGGAGUGUGUGUGUGUACGGACAUUAGACACAUCUUUGAUUUGCUCUUUUGGGGGGCUCCAUGAAGACUCAUUAGUCUGGCCAAGAGAGGGGCAGAAAAACUGACUGAUGAGAGAAAGGGAGGCAAUGAGAAAAAAGAACACAAUAGAGGAAAAGUGGCUUCUCUUCACAUCACCAUCUCAGAACAAAGUUGGCAGCCCACACUAAUGAAUUGGACUGUCCUGUGCUAAUGAAUGGAGUCUAGAGAGGAACAGAAGGAAAUGAACGGAGUAGUGGGAUGUCAAACUACAUGAACGAUAAAGUAACUCAUAACAGGGCCUAUGUUACCAGGGCCUAUUAGUUCCCCUGUCUCCACUGGUGGUGGGCGUAAUGAGGUUGUCUCAGAGGACCAGACCAAUGUUUAAGGAUGGUAGUUGAAAAAACUUAAGUUUUAUUCUGUUUUAGAUGCUGUUUAAUAAGGCAACUGAAAUCCUCAAAAUCAAGAUUCUGCUCUACUGAUACUAAAACUGAUACUGUCAAAGUUAUAAAACAUUAUCUAGCAAUUUUGCUAAGAGUUGCAUGCUACAAAGCCUAAUUAACUUCACAACGGCCGAUUUCCUUUUAAAUUCUUACAUUUUACCAUUUGUGCAGUCUAAUUCUAAAAUGCACUUAUAAAUUGUUUUACAUUAAGUAAAAAGCGGAGCAGCACAAGAGGUUGCCAAAAGGGUUGGCAACACAACUUUCCUUCAUGUCAGACUUCUUUUUUGUCUGCAAAAGUUUAAAAUAUACUCAUGUUGUGCAACAAUAGGUUUGGUUUGGCUGUGAAUAACUAUUGAUAAGUGCCAAAAAUUUAUAAAAAUUACUUGCACAACCUAUAGCCAAACAACUCUCAGGUCCCUGUCAGGUUUUGUGAAUACCUACCUGUUGAGGUGUGGUAUUAGAGAUCAAUAGAUGGAGUGAAUUUAGGCACUGGCAUUCUCAAAUAGGAAGUUCUGCACACAUAUACAGAACAAACAUAAACAACUUCUCUCCAAAUUUUUUACUCGAGAAGUAACAUUUAACUACACUACUAAGUAAAAAAGAGAAGAAUGAGGACAAGUAAUAAACAAAAAAAAAAAAAAAAAGGAAACAAUAAUUAAAACUGAAACCAGUUACCAAUAAAAUGAUGCAGUGAUAUUUAAGGUCAGUGUGAAUAUAUAUGUUUAAUAACCAAGGCUUGUUUUGAGGAAUUUGGAAUGAGAUCAAAAAAGCUUUAAAAUUCAUUAAUAACAACAAUUUGUAUGUGUUCAAACAAUUAAAAACAUACUAUGGAAUUCUAUUCAAGAAGACUACAAGUUCACCAAUCAGAAGGACGUAACUUGCUAAAUUAUGCUCCAGUGAUGUGGAUGUCUAUUGAUCACUUCAUUAAAAAAGUAAAUAACCACCUUCUUCUUAAUCUUCUCACUGCAUUUAAACACAUAAUUAACUGUAGCAUCACUGUUAUUUUUUCAUUGUCUGAACCAAAUAAAAGAGAGCAUUUGAGUAUUUUAACUUCUCUUUAAUUCAUCACAUCUGUAGCGUUAGCUUGGAGGGCGUUUUUUAAGGCCAAAAACAUAGUAUCAGGAAACUAACUGCAGACAGAGCAAAGGAGUUUUGUUACCGUACUGUAUCUGUUAAACUUUACUGCCCAUUCACAUCAGGGUAACAAUGAUUGUCAGAAACAAGGGUAAAAGUUGCAGGAUAUGCCUGAAUGCUGCAAGCAUGUUAGUGUUUUACAUUAUAGUUUAUGUCACAAGCAGUUAUUCACCUUCAAGUUGAAGUACAGACAGACUGAGCUUAACACAGUGUUUUAAAUAUCUCAGCAGGAUGCUAGUUUAUUAAAUUCCCAAGCAAUUGCCAAACAACCAAAAACAAUUCAUUUAAAAAUGAAUGCCCUUACCAACUGAAGCUUAACCAGUAAAGGCAUUUUAGGCAUUUAACAUUAUUUUUUGACAAGUUUAAUCCAUCUUUAAUACUGACUGUUAUGUUGACUGCUUAUGUUUCAAAACCUGGAAUUAUAAACCUUUAUUUUUAAUCAAAAUUGUGUAAAAUUGUUAAAAGCAGGUUUGGAGACCAGACAAGAACCUGCCUAUGCUGCUUAAAAAGGGAAAUUUAAGUGGUAAUCUGCUAAGGCAGCACAUACCACUAAAAGUAGACAGGAACCAGAAUCUCUGUCAUAAAUGGGAUAUUGACUUAUUAGAUUUAAUGAACUCUAAGCAUAUCCAGUUACUGUAACUCUGAGGGAAUUAUUAUUUCCCCUUGGAAAGCACUGACAGCCAUAGAAAUGAAAAAAAAAAAAAGAAAUGUAAGUUUAGUGGUGGAGACAGUGCAAAUUAAACCCAUUUUUGCAAUUCUUCAAAUCACUUACAUUUGAUUAGGCCUAACAUCUACUGUCAUUUACAACUGUGAUAGCUGGACUGAGAAACAAACAAAAUAACUGAUAAACCAAAGUAGAACAUCUGACACAUUUUAAAAGUAUAUCUUAAUAUAAACAUUUUAUUCAGUGCAUUUUGUGUAUACAACAAAUAAUAAACAACUGGAAGUUUUCAGACAGCCGCAGUGCCUGUCUGUAUAUGCUGUUUUAUCAGAUUUAGCCUGAUAGUUUGGAACACAUGAUCCAACAUGGGUUUAUACACAUAGCCUACAUCAUGCAGCUCUAGACCAGUAUUUUCCCUGCUUUCUCCCAUGCAACAGAUAGAUCCACCUAAUACAAACCACCUCCAGAGGAAAUCAAGAAACAAACGUCUCCCGAAAGCAUGUACUAGAAAUAAGUUAUGUAGCUGAAGGAAAGAGUACAUAGCCCACAAAAAGGGUCCUUUUUGUACAUAUUUGUGUACACGUUCUGUGCAAGAAAGGGAAGCAGUGUGUUUUUGUACUUUUUUGUUUGCUUUUCAGUUUUAUAAAUUUGACAUUUCUUAUAAAAUGUUAAGC